UCUAGUGGUAAUGAGGAAUUCCCGGAGGAAUUCAUGGGUUUCCAUCACAUCUGUGCCUUUGAUAUUUGAGCCUUUUAACUUCAUUGUUUUUCUUCUUCUCUUGUGCUUCUUCUUCAUUUCUUUGUCUUGUAAGGGAGGUUGCUAGCUAGAAGAUUUUUGAAGCUUGGUUUUCAGCUGGACUAUCUUUUCAACACUCUCUUUUCCGGCCAUCGUAGAUUGUUUUAGGGAGUGGCAUUGGAUCUCAUUUUUUUGGGCUUAAGCUAAUAUCAGAUCUUGAGUGAUAGACCGGCGUGGAUCUUGAAAGAUUGUCUGUAGAUGUCUUAUCCUGUUGUAAAUUGUAG